ACCUCCAAACCGAUCGUACAGUUAAAUCACCUGCUCUUGUAAAAAACUGAGCAUCACUAUGAUUUGUGUUAGAUUGGACUGCGUUUGGGUUUAGCUAGCUGUUCCCAAUGAACUGACACCUGCUAAAAGAGAGGUUUUGACGAACAAUGAUAAAUUAAAAAAAAGGGCGUUUAGCUUCUCACCUGCUGAAGUCUUUGUCCACCUCGUACUCGUACCUCAUCCACGUGUUCGUGUACACGAAGAACUCCAGGAAGGCGAGCACGGCCAUGAGACAGAAGGCGAUCAGCGACACUGCGGAGGGAACAGACUCGAGUCACUGCGGUGCACAGGGGAGUCACUCCGCGACGGUCGGCCGAGUGCGGUCACGGCUGUCCGUGCUCUACCUGUGCCGCCGCUGGCCGUGGACUCCACGUAGCUGUCGGGGACUUUGGGGAAGGCGUCCAGCUCCUUCACCAGGGUCAGAGCCUUCUUCUUGGUCAGCCUCCUCAUGUCGGGAGCAGCGUAGCUUCAGAUACAGAGUCAGGCCCUUCGUCCCGUAGGACGCCCGGCUCUAGGACGUCGGAGGUGGGCGUGUCAGGCGGCUCUUGAGAGAGAUCUUCAGAGCAUCUGCUCACAGUGGUAGGUGAGGUCCAGGAAGGAGAAGACCGGGGAGCGGCUGGACCCUGGGCUGAGCUCACUAUCAGAGCCGUCGUCCGACAGGUUGCUGUAGCUGGGAGACUGAGCCGGAGAUGCACUGGAGGUGGUGCUGUGAGCGUCUGAAUCUGGUUUGCAGAGGGGAUGAUUAGCUGUUACACAAUCUUUGAGGAACAAAUGAGUUAAUGCCAUUUAACAUGUAUAACAUUUUAUAAUUGAAUGCUAAAAAACUCACUGUUUCUUUUGAGCUCUUUCUGCAGUCUGCGGAUCUGGCUCGGCCGUGCUUUCUUAGAGAUGGACUUUAUUUUCUUGGGCCUGGAAGUGAUCUUUAAGCUGGGACCUCCCCUUGCAUCCACCACCUGUGUGGAGGAGAGAAUAUGAGAGGGUAGGAGGAAUGAGGCUGGCAUUAUUCAAGUAUUGUAUCAUGACCAAGCAUCAUUCAACCAUAAUAUCAAUACAGCGAUUCACACUCACGUGGUUCCAGUUCUUCUUGGUUCCCACAGGCAACUUUUUCCAUCGUUUCACCAGGAGCACACAGGCGUUGCAGAUUUCUCCGGAUCGCGUUUCACUCAAUCUGUAAGACAACCACACAUUGUCAGGGUUUCCUGUCAAUAAUUAUGAUUAAGUCAACACACAGAUGCUCAGGUGUGUCACCUACCCGAAACAGCUCCUGAACUCUUUCUCAUACCGCUUGCUGUCCGUGAAACGAGAGCUUGAGGACUUUGCACGGCAGAUGCAGCAGCCGUCCAAACUCCUGUACAUCUUCGGCUUGUGAAAGCCAAACAUCUGCGUCCAAAAAACAAACAAACAAACAAAUAAAUAAAAUGCAAAAAUA